AUUUUUGUCUUUUCUUGGUUAAAGUUACUUAAACUGUGUUUUCUUUUUGAACCAAUCAG
rnacentral:sRNA from 1 species